UACAGAGGGUGCGAGCGUUAAUCGGAAUUACUGGGCGUAAAGCGCACGUAGUCGGCUUUGCAAGUCGGUUGUGAAAUCCCCGGGCUCAACCUGGGAACUGCAUCCGAGACUGCAUUGCUAGAGUAUGGGAGAGGAAAGCGGAAUUUCUGGUGUAGCAGUGAAAUGCGUAGAUAUCAGAAGGAACAUCAGUGGCGAAGGCGCUUUCUGGACCAAUACUGACGAUCAGGUGCGAAAGCGUGGGGAGCAAACAGG
rnacentral:rRNA from 1 species